UUUUUCUAUAUCAUGUAUUGGAUAUGUAAAAAACUAAAAAUUGGAUAUGUAAAAAACUAAAAAUUAUGGGUAUUUGGGAAAGUGUAUAGUGUUUGGUGGUGGACCUGGUGGCAGUCUCGAUAAAAUGUAGCUUCGACUAGGGAGCACAUGUUUUUGGUCAGACCAUCCCUAAAGAUUAUUAUUAUAUCAACAAAGAAAAAGGUUCAUUUAUAUCAGUUGUGAAGCAGCCGUAAAUAAUAUACCUAAAAUAUGUUGCCUCUCCCAAAAGAAACCGUACAUAUGGUAAAAUAAUAGUAACACCAAAUAAUUUGAUUGUUGAUUAAAAGAAUAAAGACACUAGUUCACGUCCGAACAUGGAAUACGGCGAGUUUAUGUUAACGAUGUCAUUGUUAUAUUUGAGAAAACAAAUAAGUUUUCCAGAAUUUCUGAUUACUAAUCUCACUCCUAUGUCAUGUUUGCCUUCUAAUGAUGUUUUGAAUGGUAAUGCAUGUGUGUUUGUUGCAGUUGAGCUUCAAACGAUACAAUCGCGUGAAACACAUGUAAUCACAUUCACAAAAUUUUGUCACUAACAUCACUUUUUUUUUUCUUGUACAUGUGAAAUGUACUUAGACACAUUUUGAUCGGAUACAGCCAUACGUCAUCAUAGAACUGGAUUUCUAAUUGCUUAGAAUUAAAUUCUAAAGGUAACUACCAAAGUUUUUAAACUAAAUGAAGUGCUUUAUGACAGUUGUAUUUAGUGCCCACAGAAAUAACUUUGGAGAGAGGGAGAGAGAGAGACACUGAAGCUGAGGUUUGCAAGGAGGCUUCUCGUUUCUCUCAGACGAAACGAAUAAAGAACAAAAAACAAAGAUGAGAGAAAUCCACAAAAGUAGAAGAAAUCAAACAAUGGAGGGUACUGAUUAUUACUGCAACAAUGGUGGGGUUUCAAGAAGAGCGUUUUUUGUUAGGGAAGAAGAAAAAUGAGCCUCAAUACUCUUCCAUGUUGUUGAUCAGAUUCAUUUCGUCAGUAUGUUUUUAAUCUGUUUCUUUUAUUGAUAAAGAUUAGUGUAGUGGUAUUGGCAGAAUGGCUCAAUCUCCUUGUCACACAUUAUCACGUCACGUGAUACACUCUUCUUUCCCUCUCUUUAAUUUUAUUUUUGACGUAUGGUUUUCAUACCUCAUUUAUCAAGAAAACAACUUGUUUUGCUUCUUGCCGAAAGCAAAUUUAAGAACUAAAUAAAAAUAGCUUUUUCAUA